rnacentral:tRNA from 1 species
UGGCUCAGUGGAUAGAGCGUCAGCCUGUGGACUGAAGGGUCCUGGGUUUGAUUCCCAG